AACGCACAUUGCGCCCCUCGGUAUUCCGGGGGGCAUGCCUGUUCGAGCGUCAUCUCACCUCUCAAGCUUGGCUUGGUUAUGGGCGACAGUUGUCUGGUGGACGGACUCGCCUCAAAAGCAAUCAGACCGGGCCGUCGGCACCGAACGUAGUGAAUUUACCUCGUUACGGCGACCGACGAUCACUCCGUCGUGACCCAUCUAAGAUUGACCUCGGAUCAGGUAGGGAUACCCGCUGAACUUAA
rnacentral:misc_RNA from 1 species